rnacentral:rRNA from 1 species
AAACAACUUCUACUCAACAAUAAUUCUCGGAAUCCUAUCUGGACUCCACAGUUAAGCAUUCUUGAGAGAUGGUCAUAUUAGGAUGGGUGACCUUCUGGAAAAUCCUUGCGUUGCACC